rnacentral:lncRNA from 1 species
GAAGCCCUUCAAAUGUAAAGUAUGUGGCAAAAAUUUUAAAACAAACUCACAGGUUGAUUGCCACAACAGGAUUCAUACUGGAGAGAAGCCCUACAAAUGUAAUGUGUGUGGCAAGAGUUUCAGUCAAAAAUCAUCACUUACUCAGCACCAGCGAAUCCACACUGGAGAGAAGCCCUAGAAGUGUAAAGAGUGUGGCAAAGCUUUUAAUAGCAUCUCACAGCAUAAUUGGCACAAAAGUAUUCAUACUGAAGAGAAGCCCUACAAAUGUAAAGUGUGUGGCAAGAGUUUUAAUACAAACUCACAUCUAUAUUGCCACAACAGGAUUCAUACUGGAGAGAAGCCCUACAAAUGUAAAGUGUGUGGCAAGAGUUUCAGUCAAAAAUCAUCACUUACUCAGCACCAGCAAAUCCACACUGGAGAGAAGCCCUACAAAUGUAAAGAAUGUGGCAAAAGUUUUAAUCAAAAAAUAAUACUUACUCAGCACCUGAGAAUCAACACUGGAGAGAAGCCUUACAAAUGUAGAGAAUGUGGCAAAGAUUUUAAUCAACAAUCAUCACUUACUCGACACCAGAGAACCCAUACUAGAUAGAAGUCCUAUAAAUGUGAAGAAUGGCAAACCUUUUAAAAACUGAAGAUCACAUCUUACUAAACAUUAUAGAUUUUAUACUAGAGAGAAGUUUUACAAUCAAAACUGCUGAGGGCCAUAGCCAAGUAGGAAUGAUGCAUGGCAAUUUCCUUUUCAGCCUACCCAAUGUUGCUUAGAGGGAGGACUCUCCAUUGUGGAAAUGGGCUUGCCUUGGACCCAGGUCAUUUGCAGUGACAUUGCAUGAAUGAGAGUUUUUUGAAAGGUGACCCUGCUCAGGAAUUAGGGCGGCUCCAGGUUUAGGGUGUAUCCUGCUGAAUUAGGGUGGCUACAAGUUUAGGGUGGAUCCUGCUGGGAAUAGGGUGUAUCCUGCUGCCUCAGGCGCCUGCUCCUUGAGUUCCUGUUGAGUUCUCCUGGGAUUCAGAGAGUACUUGGGAUGCAGAGCCCAGUGGAAGUGUAGAUUUUUCCAGACCAUGCGUGUAGAGUGCCGGUGAGAGUUCGGGAAUAAAGAAUUGCUGUUUGAA